rnacentral:rRNA from 1 species
UACAGAGGUGGCAAGCGUUGUUCGGAAUUACUGGGCGUAAAGGGCGCGUAGGCGGCUUUUUAAGUCAGACGUGAAAUCCCCCGGCUUAACCUGGGAACUGCGUCUGAUACUGGGAAGCUUGAGUUCGGGAGAGGGAUGUAGAAUUCCAGGUGUAGCGGUGAAAUGCGUAGAUAUCUGGAGGAAUACCGGUGGCGAAGGCGGCUCUCUGGGACGGUACUGACGCUGAGACGCGAAAGCGUGGGGAGCGAACAGG